GGGCCGGGUCGCAAAAUGGCCGCUCUGGGCUGCGGUGCUCGGGGGCUGUGGGGUCCUUUCGCAUCCGUGUCCGGGCGGUGCCCUGACACCGGCCUUCUCCGCAAGGGCGCGGCCGCUGGUCACUGCACCGCACUUCGUUCCUGGGGGGGCUAAGGGCGGUGGCUGCGGUGGUUCUGGGGGCGGCUAGCCGGGGUCGGGGCGGUUCCUGCGGAGUUUCAGGCCUGGGGGGACCGCCGGGGCCUCUGCCUGGUUGGCUGCGCUUUCCCGGGAGGCCGCGGGCGGGCGCCUCGCAUUCCCCAUGGGCUGGCCGCGGAGAGGCCUUCCUGGGCAUCGUUCCGCUGGAGCGGGCACGGACCUGCUGUUCCGAGCUCAGCCCUUGUCAGGAAUUUAACCUCCAUUGUUCGUAUCUGCAGUUAAAGAAACCCACCUUGAUCUGUAUUCGUUGUCUAAUGCACAGCGGGUUUGGUUCUGGGCGCUGUUUUAGUAUACUCAGUCUGCCUCGGGAGGAGCCCUUGGUGUGGCGUUUGAGUCUUACCUGAGCAGCCAUCCCAGGGAAGGAUGUUUAGGGCUGAAGGGAAUGCACUGCGCCGGUUCAGAGAAACAGUGGCCCGCUAUAUGCUUAAAGCUACAUGGAUAAAGCUCCUCCGGAUAAGGUUCCGGUGUUCGGCUGUAGGUCGGUGAUUGUCUUCUCCGAUUGAGAAACCUUAGCUGAGGUCAUCAAUGGGCCGAGUGAUCCAGGCCUUUCGGGGGAGGGGGGGGGGUGAGGGUGAAGAAGGGUGGUUUGUUGGGUCCUUUUGAUGUAUGUAAUUUCUAUGUGAGAUAUGAUCUGGUGUGACUGUGACAUUUGUUGUCAAAUUCCCAGUGGCAGUCAUAGGUCUCACCUUCUUUGCCUUAAGUGUUGCUAGUCAUAACUCGCUGCUUACCUUUGGGAGUGAAAACAGGAGAAAAACAUUUCGAGUACUGUAAACAGUACUGGUUUCGAAACAGUGUUAAAUUUUAGAUUAAGACAGUGUUUAGAGAGACGGUGCUUAAGCAAGUCCUUGUUUUUUGAUCUGAGUUAUUUUCAUCAGUUAAUAUUCUUUUUAAUUUUAACAGAUUUAGUAAAUAAUGUUUUGGUUGGCUUUAUGACAGUAUAUGAAGAAAUCAGUUGAUAGCUUUUUGAUUUGAAGUAUUGGAGGCCUUCAAUAUUCUUCCAUAAUAGUUGUAUGUUUGUACUUAAGUACUGGUGUGAUUUUUUCUAAAUGGAUUCUGCCAGUCAACAUACAGUAAAUGAUCUGUUAUGGUUAAUACUUCCUUUGGAAAGCUCAUGUUAAGUUGUUUUUUUUUAAUUCAUGCACUACUCAAAGUCCCAACAAAGUAGUUAUUACACUGUGUGCAGGCAGUCCUUUGUUUCUUAUUACUUUUUAAUUUACAAUUUCUUUUUAUUGAUAGACUUCAACUGUAUCGGUGUGUGUAUAUAUGUAUAUACAGACAAUAUUAUAUAUAUAUUCUGUAUAUGUCAGUUACUAUAUAAGCAACUGAAGCCAAAGUGAUUUGAGGUGAAUCUUGGAGUUGCUCUGUUUCCAUUGUUACAAAGUGCAGUUAUAUGAAUAGAACUGCUUAAAAAUGAAGUUUUGUCUUGGCUAGAUCUGCCAACUAGACACAGUAAUAGAGGUAUGAGAGCUUGGUUAAGAAGUCUCUAUCACCAGUCUGUUGACAGGAAAUUAUGGUGGUGAUGAUAACAACAACUAUUAGUAGUAGUAGUAGUAUUGAAAUAUGUCAUCUCAUGAAGCGUCUUCUAGAGAACUAUGAAAUUGCAACAGUUGGAAUGACAUAGUUAUGCUUAUCACAAUAUGGAAAGAUUUAAUAUUAGAGUAUGUGGCUUUGUUAACUGCCUUUUUUAGCAGCUGUGAUUUUGGAGAGUUUCACAAUUCAUAGUUGAAAAUUUUACAGUAAAUUAAAAAAGACUGGAAAUUAAUUUUGCACUUUUGCACUAAUGAUGCUCUUUCUGUAAUCACCUCUCUGUACUUCUUCAUUUUAUCCUAUGUCCUAUUCUGAAAACUUCCUUGAGGGUUAGGGAAGUUGAGAUUAAUGAAAGUUAAUUAUUUCUUUAAAUUAUCUUUUAGGUGGCUUGAGAACCAAUCAGUGAUUCUGUAUAUAAUCUACAGGUGUGCAUCACAGAUUGAGUGAAAUAGCUGGAAUUUCUCUGUUCUUGUUGUUUUACAAAAAUACACUGGAAACUCAAGAAAUUAGGUCUUAAAAAUCUGAGCAAAGCUGGAUCCGGAAAGUUUUCUCACAAACACCCAAGUAAUGUGAUGAAUAAAACAAAGAGAUGGUGAGCUGGUGACAGGCAAAAGAAAGAGUAACUACAAUUCCUAGAGAAGGCUCCAGACUGCCGGCUUGUGGUGAAUGUAGCAGUACUGGUGUGGUGAUAGUCUAAAGAUACAGAUUUUCCAUGAAGGUUUCAGUCUGAGGUGUAAACAUCUGAAAGAACGUAGUCAUUUAGGAAGACAGAUAAUUAGGAAAAUCUGCAAGGCAUCCUGACAGGAAGAACCCAAAGCUUCUAAUAUUUAACUUCAGAAGAGUAAUUUUUUUCUUUGAUUUUUUUCUCCAUUUAUGCGUUUAUAAUCUUGUUAUCUGUUUCAGAUAUUGUGAAUAAACAUCUUUAUUUGCAUGGUUAACUGAACCUGGCAUGAAUUAAAAGUGAUAUCUUAUUAAAUGAAUAUUAAAAAGUAAUUUCUCACUCUAGUCCUUGAAGCAAACUGCAAGUAGCUGGCUCCCCAUUAUGUUCUGUAGAAUAGUGGAAAGCUAGGAGACCAUGCUCCCAAAUAAAUAAUUCGGGUUCUCUGGAAGAUAGGUAUUACAGGUUGAGAGAAGAAGGAAACAUCAUUGAUGUAGCUGUAAGUAACCAGCUCUCUGUCAUUGUCAGUACUGGGGUGCACCUUGAACUUGGAAGGCUUUCAGGGAGGCUAUAGCAAGAGCCUAAGACCAGUCAGAAACUAAAUUAAAUUCUUACAUCCUAUCCUACUGUGACAGAACUUAAAAUAUGCCUUAAAUACACCUACUUCAAUAUUGUGUUAUUAGCCAAAUGUGGAUGUUUAGUGCUGCACACAGUUUUGUGAUUUGUGGUCCCAGGGUCUCUGCAGUCACUGGGCUGUUCAUCUUAAUCUAGUUUUAUUGUUUCCUUCCUUCCAUUUCUUUCUUGGCAGUAAACAUAAUGUUGAUACUGCAGUGAUAAUUGAUGUAGUUCUGUCUUUCUGCAUUUGUAUACAUUUGGAAACACUAAAUGUUGGUAAUAACUGUGUAGUGAGUAGUAACCAUUUUGAUGCCAUUACCUUAUUUUAGCAAAAUUGAGUAGCUAAUAUUUAUCUCCAAACCUGCUAUGAUAAGCUUAUUUUCAUUCAAAUCUUUGGCUUCACCUCUAGUAACUUCUGCAUCAGUGAUGCAGUUUCCAUAUGAAGUCAUGACGGCUAAAACUACAUCAAGCCAUAACAGUUCUUAAAUAAAGCACAAAGAAUUGUGGAUUUUUGUAUGCACUGAGGUAAUGCAUUUAAUAAAAUUAUCUCCUUUCCUCCUUGUAUAGACUCCAGCCUGUUCCAGGAACCUAUCUAGGCAAAGUCAACUUAAUGAUCAAAACCUUAAAAUAGAGGUCAGAAGUACUAAAUUUGGAUGUCCAAUUUAGUAUCUAUCACAAGGGUAUGAUUUCUAAGAACAUGUAACACAGGAAAGUACUUAUAUAUUUAGCAUACGUGCCCAUUUAUUUCAGUGGGCACUUGGCUCUGCUCAUGCGAUCCAAGGUGUCAAGGUGGGUACUCAGGAAAUAAGGAAUGAGCAAUCACACAGUAGUUAUGAGCAAGCAUUCACUGCCCAAACCAUGGUGCCCUUGUGCAUUUAUAUUAAUUACCUCAUUUUUUACAAACACAACUGUUUAAUCGCUAUCAUCCUCAUUCUAUAGCACAUCAGAGGUGUAUGUCACUGAUUUUUAACUUGGAGUUGAGCAUAUGGACAGGAUUUACUCACACUUACCCUUUAUGUGAAGUGAGCAUGGUGCUAGAGUAUGUCUUUCAGGAGUGCUCAGUUUGAAGUUCCUGUUCUAGCAUUUUUAUUGGACCUGUGGAGAUUUUGUCUGCAUCAUGAAGCCAUCACUAUCAAAACUGAUUUAUAUAUACAUGAGUUUGGAAACUCUCUUUAUUAGUCAGCAUCAGGCCCUGGCUGAGGCAGUAGCAAGUCUGGGACAAAGUUGUGUAGGACUCAAUUACUACUUGUUAAAUGAUACGCAUGAGUUGCAUUUCUCUGAACAGAGGAAGCUACAGGCCAUGUUGGUUGCUCUUGGUGGUUCAUGUUUUUUUGUGGAUGUUACAUGUUGAGUCUUACUUCUGACUUACUUUUCACUUGAUUUUUCCUUCCCAGAUUUUGAUGUCACCUUCUUGUAGUCCUUCCCCAUGUAAAUGAGGAGGCAAGUGAUACUGUUGAGAAUUUGACUAGUGGAGGUGAAAGCUGGUAGGCAGAAGAUCCUCCUCCUGUGAAGUUUUUCCUGCUGAGUGAGUCAGCAUUGGCAACUUGGUUAACAACUUGAUGCUGUCAGGUAGGGGUGUGAGGAUUCUGAAGGACUGGGACUGGAGCCCCUUGCACAUGUUGAACUGGUGUGAAAAAAGGUGGUGAGGGGUCUGUUGUCAUUAAACUAUAGAUCAGAGGGCCUCUUAUUUUUUGUUUGAAAUUGAACCGUAUGCUAAUAGAAUUGUAUUCUUUUGAGUAACCAAGUCUCACUUGUGAGGUGGAAAAGACAAAGGUAACAGAUCUUUGAGAUUAUAGGGACAUGUGCUGAGGACAUGCCCCAUCUGGGUCGGAUGCCCCAGACAAUACUGCAUACUGUUCUGUUUUGAAAUACAUGGGCUAAUAUACUAAUACUUACAAUGGAAGGCUUGAGGAUCCUGCUCUGGUAGCCUGUCAUAAGGUCAAUGAGAAAUUAUUUCAAAGUCUGAGACUCCUAACACAGAGUUUUGUGUUGAGUGUGCCCUGAUCUUUGUACCAUUGCUCUGAAAUACCAUAUCAAGGAAUGACAUGAGUUCCGUGUCCUUACCUGGAUGGUCCAGAGUGAAAAACUCCACAUGCCAUCUGACUAAUUGGGAGAAUCUAGAAGCAUGAGUUUAAAUUACAGAAAAGUGGUCAAAUGGUGCAAAUACCAAUAAGGAAUACCACAUUAUCAAAGGGAUGUCCAGGGACUGUGGAAUGCUGUAGUCCACCUGGCAGAAAAAAGAAACUGGAAAAAAGCCAGACUUGCUGUGUGUCAGACACAUUAGAAUGUGGACAUCAUCAAGUUUUCUGUGGAAAGCUUGUCUCCACUUAAAAAACAUUUGUCCAGCUGCACAGCAUAUACACAUGUGAAUUAUCCCUUAAAAGAUAAACCAACGUAUUUCCUUAUCAUAAUAUUAUUAGGUUCUUGACAACAUUGUUUCUAUUCAUUUUUAUACUCUGCACACUAAUGUAUAUGAUUUGGUAUGAUGCUCCCUCUUUAAUAUCUUUCUAUCACAGGUUGAAUUCCAGUCCAACAACAUUAACUUAUAUCAGCAUGUUGUAAGACUUCUGAGACUGAUGGUAGGAUCACUGAAACAGUUUAACUGGAGAGUAGUUCCUCACAAUCAAGUACACAAAUGACCAGAUCGCCCCCAUAGUUCAUACAAACUUUCUUAUACUGGAAAUUGAAGGUACUGUGUCUGUCUGAGCCUAAGGAUCUAUUCCUACACUGAGUGCUCUGCACAAGUGUUAGCUGCUUUAAUAGCUUGUGUUUUGUUCAGAGAUCAGUGUGCUGAAUGGUCCCUGAUGAGGAAAAAAGGAUUUGGAAAGUACUUUCCCUAUUCUACGAGAUUUCCUUAGCCAAGUUGCUUAAACUCUCUGGACCUUAAUUAACUUUCUGCAAGUAAUAGCAGGUGUAUCUAUUUGAUUCCCAUGUCAUAUAUUUAUUGUAGGACCAACUGGUUUUUGAGGCAAGCAGACAUCUUACUGCUAGAGAAAACAUAAAAAUGAAUUGUUUUGCAGCAAUUUAGCUGAGUGGAUGCUAAAUAAUGAUUGGGUAAAGAGAAUCACACCUACUCUCAACCACUUGCUUUUUACUAUAUGCAGGACUUGUUCUGGAUGAUCGGCGCAGGCAAGUGUUUGUGUAAGGCUGGGCCAGCUAAACGUUGUCUUUUAAGGAUGUGGGUUCAGCUGCCUUGCAGAAAUAUAUUGCAGUAAAAUCCUUCAGUUCUCGAAUAUGGCUGUAAUGGCUGUCUAAAAAUAAUACCUAACAAAGGGUGUCCUUCACAGAGGGAGCCAGAAAUAACCUGCUUUUGCUCUGUCAAAAUGUAAGGCUAUUACCAGUUAAUCCACAAGCACCAGCUUGACCUGGAGACCACGCAAGAGCCGACUUUCAAGCACAUUUUCUACGUAAGGACUCUUGAGCUUGGACUUCCCCCCAAAGAGAUAAUAAAUACCACUCGCUUCAA